ACAGAACUCCUUCGAAAAGAAGCAUUACUACAACUCAGAAGGGAGAACCUAGUUCCUGAGCUGAGCCAAUCAUUUAUCCAUUCAUUUCCUGUGUAUGUAUAUCGUAAAAGUGAUUGAAAUAUUCGCCACGUCAUCCGCACAGUCUGCAGAGGAACUAUCUAUUGCGCAAGGAGCGGAUCUGUUGGACCUGUGAAGUUCGCCAGCCAUUCAGCACUCGCAAGAUAUCGCAAACACUGGCCUAACGGCCACAUCUUUUACCGACAUCAACAAUCCAUCACGUUCAAUCACAAUCUAAGUUACCAACUUCAUGCCCAUACUUUUCGAGGGUACUCCGGAAUGAUAUCGAAGGAAUCCAUAGCUAAGUCAACCCGGUUUCUUUAUGCCGCACCAUUUGUUUAGACUGGCUCAAUAAGCUGGAGGAGCUGCCUCAAUCUGUUGUAAUCUAAUCUAUUUCGACAGUCGUAUCAUCCCCCAAAAAUUCACAACAGAAGCCUAUUUCGCUAUUAAUCAAUUCGCUAGAUGUAAUAAAUACAUGAAACAGCAGCACCAAUUUAAAUUUGACGACUACAAGAAUGUUAUGGAAAAAGUGAUAGACCAGUUUAAGAAAUGCAUCCCGGCUCCCGUGGAAUAACUAUACACUUCCGUCGCAAUUUACUAGUGGACCAUCAUCGUUACUGUCAUCCGAACGAGCCAGGAUAACCAUCACCUUAGUGUGUACUAUUCCUUUCAAUCAGCGUCGGUUGGCUGGUGGUUCGCCUUUUCCGGAACGAUGACGCGGUUUCGGGUUUACGACGCCAGGCAUAUGCUUAGGACAGCAAUGUUCAUGGUAAAGAUAAUUUCGAGGCGAGAUGGACAUUGAUGGACCGUCUGGCAAAGGAGAAAAGAUUAUUUCGAGUGAGAAUUUUAUGCAUGACGUUUCUAUUUGCCAUAUUUUUAUUUCCGACGACACCAGCUGCCGGUUAAAAUCAUUGCGGGAUCUAACCAAAACUACAUCCGGGUCAGAUCCCAAUUUAAAAUCAUCCAUCAUAUGCUUCACACUCGAGAGAUGUUCGAAACGAUGUCACCGGCUUCAUCGACGAGAACUUUCGACCCGAUUUGGCCAAUCUAAUAUAACGAAACACUCGUUGACCAGCGGGAGGAUUAUGCAGCAGAUUUUCAGGGAUAUGGAGUCACCACAUCACAAGGUGUUCCGCAUGCUGCCACGAUUCCGGUGACAGACGUUCCAUGCCAUUUUAAUUUUAUCAUUAUAAACAUAAAAAA